rnacentral:rRNA from 1 species
GGAAAUUUUCGGAUGGAAGUUGAAUUGACUGAGUGGCGGACGGGUGAGUAACGCGUGGGUAACCUGCCUUGUACUGGGGGACAACAGUUAGAAAUGACUGCUAAUACCGCAUAAGCGCACAGUAUCGCAUGAUACAGUGUGAAAAACUCCGGUGGUACAAGAUGGACCCGCGUCUGAUUAGCUAGUUGGUAAGGUAACGGCUUACCAAGGCGACGAUCAGUAGCCGACCUGAGAGGGUGACCGGCCACAUUGGGACUGAGACACGGCCCAAACUCCUACGGGAGGCAGCAGUGGGGAAUAUUGCACAAUGGGCGAAAGCCUGAUGCAGCGACGCCGCGUGAGUGAAGAAGUAUUUCGGUAUGUAAAGCUCUAUCAGCAGGGAAGAAAAUGACGGUACCUGACUAAGAAGCCCCGGCUAACUACGUGCCAGCAGCCGCGGUAAUACGUAGGGGGCAAGCGUUAUCCGGAUUUACUGGGUGUAAAGGGAGCGUAGACGGUAAAGCAAGUCUGAAGUGAAAGCCCGCGGCUCAACUGCGGGACUGCUUUGGAAACUGUUUAACUGGAGUGUCGGAGAGGUAAGUGGAAUUCCUAGUGUAGCGGUGAAAUGCGUAGAUAUUA